UAACCUAUCAUGGUUCUCAAGUUUCCUGAGAAAUUUUGUGGCCAUGGGAGAAAAAUAUUUUAGCAAUCAACUAAUCAGAAAUCUAAGCUUUGGAAUGUUUUGCACUGGGACAUUGGAAAGUGGUGUACAGUAAAUUUGGGAACAUUCUCUCCAUUUGUUGUAAUUAGCUUCUCAUUGACCUUUUGAGAUGUUUGUCAAAUCUGUGUCAGAUCAAAGUUACAUUGUUAACAUAGUUAAUAGUCACUGUUUUUGACCUGGGCUUUGAACAUUGAUACUGUUAGAUUUGGACAAAACAUUUUUUUUUCAUUGUCUAAUUCUUUAUAUAGUCUAAGUCUUGGGAUUGAUAACUUUUUUUCUUUUAAAGCUUAUGGAUGAUAAUUAUUCAUAUAAUUCAUUUAGUUCUGUGCAAGGAGGAGGGCACUCGUAUUACUGGGAUAAA